UGCCAGACUCCUACGGGAGGCAGCAGUGAGGAAUAUUGGUCAAUGGGCGGGAGCCUGAACCAGCCAAGUCGCGUGAGGGAAGACGGUCCUACGGAUUGUAAACCUCUUUUGCCGGGGAGCAACGGGGUCCUUGCGAGGGCCCAAUGAGAGUACCCGGAGAAAAAGCAUCGGCUAACUCCGUGCCAGCAGCCGCGGUAAUACGGAGGAUGCGAGCGUUAUCCGGAUUUAUUGGGUUUAAAGGGUGCGUAGGCGGGCUGUUAAGUCAGCGGUCAAAUGUCGGGGCUCAACCCCGGCCUGCCGUUGAAACUGGGGAUCUAGAGUGUGCGAGAGGUAUGCGGAAUGCGUGGUGUAGCGGUGAAAUGCAUAGAUAUCACGCAGAACCCCGAUUGCGAAGGCAGCAUACCGGUGCACAACUGACGCUCAGGCACGAAAGCGUGGGUAUCGAACAGGAUUAGAUACCCGGGUAU
rnacentral:rRNA from 1 species